UAGUUCUGACCUGCCUGGCGUCAUCAUUUGCCGCUUGAAGAGAGGGGCUUUCUGUCCUCUGUCCUUCCAAUGUGCCUGGCAAAGUGACAGCCGCUUACAGAUUCCAGUUCCUGCAGGGAUGGCUGGCUCCUGUGACAAUGGCCAGCUCUUUACACCGAAGACAGAAGAACUACAAGGGCAACAAGGCAGAACUAAUUAACACAGACGCGAAAAUGAGAUGACCACUAGCCACAAAUAGACUCCUGAAAAGAUCAUACCAACUAGAGUCCAGACGGCACAAGACCGCAGGACAAGUGAGGACCCAAACGUCAACUCCAGCACACAUUUCCUGCCACCCUCCUGCCCACAGCUUACCCCUGGCGCCACUGAGUUCACCUGGGCCACAGCUGCCAGGCCAGCCCUCUGGGUGCAC